rnacentral:RNase_P_RNA from 2 species
AAUUUCGGGUAAUUGCGGUCUAGCUAGACUAGACUGAGGAAAGUCCAUGCUCGCACAAGCUGCGAUGCUUGUAGUGUUCGUGCCUGGCGAAAUCAUAAGCCAGGGCCUUCAUCUAGUAUGAAGAGACGGCAGAAAAAAAAGCUAAGGUUUAGACUAUGCUUGAGUAUUCUUGAAAGUGCCACAGUGACGAAGCAAUACGGGAAACGGUAUUGGUGGAACGCGGUAAACCCCUCGAGCGAGCAACCCAAACUUUGGUAGGGGCACUUUUCCUAGGGAAUUGAACCGAUGGAAGAGGCAGUAAUUGCAGACAGAUAAUUACCUCCGGAUAGAACAGACCCUGACUUUCUAUCUGAGACAGAACAUGGCUUACAGAA